GCCGCUGUAGCUCAGUUGGUAGAGCGCUCGACUGAAAAUCGAGAGGUCGCCGGUUCGAAGCCGGCCGGUGGCA
rnacentral:tRNA from 2 species